ensembl:lncRNA
GCGCGACUAAGAACAACUUUAACAGAACAUACCUGAUCAAAUAGACUGCAACAACGACACCAAUAAAGCCUGACAGAGAAAAGUGCCAAUUAAUCAAAAACAUUACUUUCAAAGACUUAAUACUGUGAUCCUAGCAUUUGAGAGGAGUAAUGCAAGCUCUAAUGGUGCUAAACUGCACCUGGAACUAUAGAUGAAGCAAUAAUUUCAACAUGGAACUGAUUAAGUAUCAGGUGAAUAUAAUGUGGAAGAUAUUCUAAAGAAACUAAUAUCUCACCUCGUAACAGGAUAAUCCCUGCAGUGUCAGGCAAUCAAGCCCAGGAAAUAAACAGAAGAAGAAUACAGGAGACCAUGGCAAGAGCAGCAGCAGAUACAGCAGCAUCAAAGCUUAGCCCUCAAGCAAUCAUUGAUAUUAGUUAUGCCUGCAAGACCCGCUUCACAAAAUAUACAAAUUCAUGUUUAUAAGACAUAUUCUGUAGAAGUACUUUAGCAAUACAAGUAAAGGAUUAACUACAGCCAUGCCAGCGGCGACAGGAAAAGCAGUAGCAGAGCCAUCUAAUAUUAAUAAUAAUGCAUUUAAUGUGCAUAGUGCUUUUCCUUAGAGUCCUUCUCAAGGCUCUACUUAAGCAAAGAAAAAUGCAAAUGGGCUAGAUGCACAAAAAAAAAAACAGUUUUCAGAUUGGGAUUAGACCUAUGAGAAAAAGUCUGUAGAAGUGGGUUUUAAAGGCCCAUUUUAAAAGCUUGGAUUGGUGGAGCAGCACUCAGAGGGUAAGGGAGAGCAUUCCAUUGGCAAGAAACAAGGGAGCAAAAGGCUUGUCCCCCCCCCCCCACUUUUCAAUGAAAUGUACCAAUAACUAAAAUGACAAUGACUCCGACGAACAAUGAACCUAUGGGAACAGAAAAUCACAAACUGUUUAAUUGCACAAACAUGGCAGUUUGACCUUUGUAAUUCUGUCUAUUGGAUCUUACCAUUUUCAGGUGGUGGUGAGGUAGUCAUAUCAGCUGUUGAAUCAAAUCAACCUUUGUCACAUGCACCGAAUACAACAAGUGUAGACCUUACCAUGAAAUGUUUACUUACAAGUCCUUAAACAGUGCAGUUCAAGAAGAGUUAAGAAAAUAUUUACCAAAUAAACUAAAGUAAAAAAUAAUAAUAACAUAACAAUAAAUAGGCUAUAUACAGGGGGUACCGGUACCGAGUCAGUGUGCGUGGGUACAGGUAAUUUGUACAUGUAGGUAGGGGUGAAGUGACUAUGCAUAGGUAAUAAACAGUUAGCAGCAGUAUACAAAACAAAGGGGGGAUUGUAAAUGUAAUAGUCUGAUGGCCAUUUGAUUAAUUGUUCAGCAGUCGUAUGGCUAUUAUAUAGGUCCUGGAUUGCGGGAAGCUUGGCUCCAGUGAUGUACUGGGCCAUACGCACCACCCUCAGUAGCGCCUUAUGGUCAGAUGCUGAGCAGUUGCCAUACCAGGUGGUGAUGCAACCAGAGCUCUCGAUGAUGCAGCUGUUGAACUUUGAGGAUCUGGGGACCCAUGCCAAAUCUUUUCAGUCUCCUGAGGGGGAAAAAGGUUUUGUCGUGCCCUCUUCAUGACUGUCUUGGUGUGUUUGGACCAUGAUAGAUCAUUGGUGAUGUGGACACCAAGGAACUUGAAACUAUCGACCCGCUCCACUACAGCCCAGUUAAUGUUAAAGGGGACUUGUUCGGCCACCUUUUCCUGUAGUCCACGAUCAGCGCCUUUGUCUUGCUCACGUUGAGGGAGAGGUUCUUGUCCUGGCACUACACUGCCAGUUCUCUGACCUCCUCCCUAUAGGCCGUCUCAUCGUUGUCAGUGAUCACUGUUGUGUAGUCAGCAAACUUAAUGAUGGUGUUGCAGUCGUGUUUGGCCACGCAGUCGUGGGUGGACAGGAAGUACAGGAGGGGACUAAGUACACACCCCUGAAGGGCCCCAGUGUUGAGGAUCAGCGUGGCAGACGUGUGGUUGCCUAUCCUUACCACCUGGGGACAGACAGUCAGCAAGUCGAGGAUCCAGUUGCAGAGGGAGGUAUUUAGUCCCAGGGUUCUUAGCUUAGUGAUGAGCUUCGUGGGGACUAUGGUGUUGAAUGCUGAGCUGUAGUCAAUGAACAGCAUUCUCACAUACAAUACCGUUCAAAAGUUUGGGGUCAUUUAUAAAAUGUCCUUGUUUUUGAAAGAAACACAUUUUUGGUCAAUUAAAAUAACAUCAAAUUGAUCAGAAAUACAGUGUAGACAUUGUUAAUGUAGUAAAUGACUAUUAUAGCUGGAAACAGCUGAUUUUUAAUGGAAUAUCUACAUAGGUGUACAGAGGCCCAUUAUCAGCAACCAUCACUCCUGUGUUCCAAAGGCACGUUGUGUUAGCUAAUCCAAGUUUAUCAUUUUAAAAAGGCUAACUGAUUCUUAGAAAUUCCUUCUGCAAUUAUGUUGGCACAGCUGUAAACUGUUGUUCUGUUUAAAGAAGCAAUAAAACUGUCCUUUAGAUUAGUUGAGUAUCUUGAGCAUCAGCAUUUAUGGGUUCGAUUACAGGCACAAAAUGGCCAGAAACAAAUAACUUUCUUCUGAAACUCAUCAGUCUAUUCUUGUUCUGAGAAAUGAAGGCUAUUCCAUGUGAGAAAUUGCCAAGAAACUGAAGGUCUGGUACAAGUACAUGUCCUGGUAAUCCAUCUGGCUCCGCAGCUUUGUGAAUGUUGACCUGUUUAAAGGUCUUUCUCACAUUGGCUACCGAGAGCAUUAUCACACAGUCAUCCAAACAGCUAGUGCUCUCGUGCAUGCUUCAGUGUUGCUUGCCUUGAAACGAGCAUAAAAAGGCAUUUAGCUCCUCCGGUAGGCCCGCGUCACUGGGCAGCUCGUGUCUGGGUUUCCCUUUGUAGUCCGUAAUAGUUUAAGCCCUGCCUCUAGCUCGAUGCAGAUGUUGCCUGUAAUCCAUGGCUUCUGGUUUGGAUAUGUACGUACGGUCACCGUGGAGACGACGUCGUUGUUGAUGCACUUAUUGAUGAAGCCGAUGACUGAGGUGAUAUACUCCUCAAUGCCAUUGGAUGAAUCCCAGAACAUAUUCCAGUCUGUGCUAGCAAAACAGUCCUUUAGCGUAGCAUCCGCAUCAUCUGACCACUUCUGUAUUGAGCGAGUCACUGGUACUUCCUGAUUUCAUUUUUUCUUGUAAGCAGGAAUCAGGAGGAUAGAACUAUGGUCAGAUUUGCCAAAUGGAGGGCGGGGGAGAGCUUUGUAUGCGUUUCUAUGUGUGGAGUAAAGGUGGUCUAGAGUUUUUUUCCCCCCUCUGGUUGCACAUGUGACAUGCUCGUAAAAAUUUGGUAAAACAGAUUUAAGUUUGCCUGCAUUAAAGUCCCAGGCCACUAGGAGUGCCACUUCUAGGUGAGCAUUUUCUUUGUUGCUUAUGGCCUUAUAGAGUUGGUUGAGUGAGCUCUUAGUGCCAGCAUCGGUCUGUGGUGGUAUGUAGACGGCUACGAAUAAUAUAGAUGAGAACUCUUGGUAGAUAGUGUGGUCUACAGCUUAUGAUAAGGUACUCUACCUCAGGCGAGCAAUCCCUUGUUUUAUAUUAGACAUCGUGCACCAGCUGUUAUUGAUAAAAAGACACAACCCCACCCCUUGUCUUACCAGACAUAGCUUCUCGGUUCUGCCGGUGCAUUGAAAAUCCCUCCAGCUCUAUAUUGUCCGCGUAGUCGUUCAGCCACGACUCGAUAUGGUAUAUGGCCAAUAUACCCCGCCUAAGGCCUGUUCUUAUGCACAAUGCAACAUGGAGUGCCUGGAUACAGACCUUAGCCGUGACAUAUUGGCCAUAUACCACAAACCCCUGAGGUGCCUUAUGGCUACUAUAAACUGGUUACCAAUGUAAUUAGAUCAGUAAAAAUACAUGUUCUGUCAUAUCCGUGGAAUACGGUCUGAUAUACCACAGCUGUCAGCCAAUCGGCAUUCAGGGCUCGAACUACCUAGUUAAUAAUUCAGAAUAAUACACAGUUAAAACCUAACCCUUCUGUUAUAGCUCACCAUUGAGAGUUGGUGCUGACAAAGUGGUCUUGCCUCGAACAGUGUCCAACCUUGAGUCUUGAGCAGCCUCCAACAAUGAUGGACACUCUGAAACAUAAUUCCAGAAAUGUUAAACUUUUUUUUUUUUUAAACAAGGCUCACCAUAGACAUAGUAGAAUGUGUCUUCAGUUGAAGUCAAUACCUGUCUUUUCAGAGGGCACAUGGUCAUGAUAUUGUUCCAUAUCACACUUCUUGCCCUCUUCAAUCAUAAGCACAAAUGUCCGACCAGCAUGCUGGCAAACAGUCUUGGACUUUUGGGAAAUGCUUGUGCAGAGUGGGAUCAGUAAACCCCUUCAACAGUUCAUCCUCUCCACACCAUAUCUUAGUCACAUCAGCAGCACAUCCAGGACUCUUGCAGGCGAUGCAUGACAAACUCUGGUGAUCUACAAUGGCACACAGAAAGACAAUGCACUUGGCAUAAGAAAUACCUGUUCUGUUAAAUGUACAGAAAAAAAAUAAUGUUUGAUCCAUCCUCACCGGUGCUUGUAAAGACACCCCCAGUGCCAGAUGCCACCCCGAGCAUGACUAUACAAAAUAAACUAUCUACAGAGAAACAAAAUAUUAGAGGCAUAUCUAUAGCAUAUGGAUCACAUCAGGGUUGGAGUCAAUUCCAUUUCAAUUCAGAAUGUAAACUGAAAUUCCAAUUUUCCUUAAUGCUUCUCCAAGAGAAAAUGUGGAAUCGGAAUUUCAGUGUACUACCGGAAUUCAAAUGGACUUGACCCUGAAAAUGGAUCCCAUGUACAUAUCUUACAACUUACUUGGGGACCAGCAUAACAUUGUUGGUGAGAAUGCCUGCAGCCAUAGGAAGACUGACAGUAGCCAUGAGAGAACAGUCUCUACAAAGGAAGCACUGGAAUUUGCCUCUUUGUCACAUUGAGGUUUGGCUGAUCGUCUGCGUUUCCUUAUAUUCUUCCUCUUGGGAGCCACCUUGUGUUCUUUCUCUAGGACUAGUUUUCCCUCUGUAUCUUUCUCUUCACAGCCCUCUCAGCAACCAACUCCUCCCCUGACUCAUAACUGUUUGUCCCCUUUCCCUCUUUCAUUUCAGCUCUCAUCCCAUCUUCAAACUCCCCCUCAGCAGCCAUCUCAGUCACCUCUACUCCAACUGGGACAAAGCAGUCUCCCUCUCUCCACUCUGCACUGACUGUGUCACUCACACCCUCUGAGAAAGCAUCUCUCCUUUCCUCCUUAUCACGGUAACCGGAGUUCCAACUCAGCUCUUUAACAAUCCCACUUGUAUCCUCAUCACCAGUGAAUACCCUCUCUACACUCUUCCCCCACCCUUGCCUCCCUCAGCCAAGUUCAGGUUUAGCUCUCCAGAUUCAUUCAUAUUCUCCAGGAUAGCUGUUGGUGGAGCUGGCAACACCUCUCUACUGCUAGAGAUGGAGGUACCAGAUUCCAGUGCUGAGCUUGUUUCUGGUGGAAGAUUUGUGUCCUGUGCAGGGCUUGAAAGACACAGUAAAGAAACCAUUAUAAUUCAUAUAUAUUUGAAUCCUAAUUUGGUUUGAGACAUGCAGCGAGUAAAUGCAUGCACUCAGAAUGUAGAUAUAAUGGAGCAAGUAAAAUAGCCUAUAUCAGAUUUGUGAACACUAUACUGUACUGUUUUGCAGUAUCAGGACAUUAUCAUCUCAGCACGACAACACAUUCUUCAAAAUAUAGUAAAGACAAGCAAAAAUUACUGUACAAAAUAAUUCAAAUACUGAGCUAUAUUGUGUGCAAAAAUACAAAAUAUUAUUUUAUACUAAUACAAUUUCUCAGAGAACAAGAUUUAUUUUAACAAGUAUACAUUCUCAAAACUUUGAUCAAUAACAAAACAUCAAAGAUCCACCCAGCAGUGGUGGGUUUGGCAUUGAAAUAAGAAUCCAUGAGCAGAAAAUAACCCCCAUACCUGCUGUAAAAUAAGGUGGAUCUUUGAUGUUAUGGAGCUAUUUUACUUCCAUUGGUCCUGGGGCCCUUAUUAAGGUCAACGGCAUCAUGAACUUUACCCAGUACAAAGACACUUUUGCCAAAAACUUGGUUGCCUCUGCUAAGAGGCUGAAACUUGGCCACCAUUGAGUCUUCCAGCAAGACAAUAACCCCAAGCCCACAUCAAUAUCCACAAAAGCAACACUUUUCAAUGGCCAUCUCAGUCUGCCGACUUGAAAACCCGUGGUUUGAAUUGAAGAGGGCAGUUCAUAAGCGCUGACGAUUGAUAUCAAGGAUCUGAAAGAAUUCUGUACUAGAGGAAUGGUCUGAGAUCCCUCCAAAAGUCUUUAAUGGAUAAAACACUUUAGAAAAAGGUUCAGUGAGGUAUUGAAAACAGUGGUGUCAAUCAUUUUGGCCCCUACCUUUGAGAAAAAAAAUAUUUACUUAAUAUAUAUUUUUUUAAAUUGCUUUCUCUGAGCAAAUUGUAUUAAUAUAAAAUACAAUUAUUUUAAAAAUGUAGCAUACAAUAUAGCUCAGUAUUUGAAUGAUUUUACAGUAAUUUUUGCUCAUCUUUAGCGAGUGUCACUGUAUAUGAAGGCUUACCAGUUUUCUGCAUUCAGUUUCUUCAUAGACCGCCACCGCCAUAGCUGACCCACCUACUUGAGAAUACAAAUCGACCUCAAAUUCCAUUCAUGAUCCUUCUCUCCAGCCAUUAGCAAAAACAUAAAAUGUACAUUUGUCAAAUAUUCAACUUUUUUAAAUAGAAAAAGACCCUACAUUUACAACAGCUUUCAUUAACAAGUCAUACUAUUUAGACUAUAAAUGUCCAUUGGAAUGUGACUUGAAAAAUAGUGUUAGGAUACUCAGAAAAUAAUAUCAAAGUUUGGUGUUUCAAAUAUUUUGAUGCCAUAACUUCCCUCAGUGAAUCGCUGGCAUUGCAGUGCAAUCUGCUGAGAGCUGAGAUCCUGCAAUUAUACUACUUCUGGUUACAUCUAGGCCUGGGGAGAAUCUCAAUUGGAUUACCUCGAUUCCUCGCCUCUUUUUGAAAAAUGUCAAAAGUACUCAAGGAGAGGAGGCGAGGAGAUGAAACGUGGAAACAAAUGCACUUGAAAUAAAUGAGAUGGGUGGAAUCCCAAAACACAUAUGUAAAGUGGUAAAAAAAAUCUAUUUAACUAGUUGUGCAAGACAUUUUAUAGAUAAAAGGACAAGUAGCGGUAUCAUUUUUAAAUGUGUGCAUGUUUUCUAUGCUGAGAAAACAGCUGAUUCAAAGGUGGUGUGGCAGAUUUCAAAACUCUUCAGCAGUAGGGUCGGCCUACACCCGAGUAUCCUCCACCAGAGGAGGCAAUCAAAUAGUAGAGAAAACUCCCCUGUUCACCUAUUGGGCCGUCAAAGUUUUCACCAUGCAAAGCCCUAGUUAUUUUUUUGCUUUGACUAAGUCAUUUCUGAAGAUGAUUUACUUCAUGGUGAUCAGCGAUUCAUUUAUGCAGGUCCCUCAUUUUAAGGUCAACCCUGUUAUGUGAACUGAACAAUUGAUUUAAUAUGGUGAAACUUUUCCCAUUUAUAUUUUUUAAGAAUCAUUGAACAUCUAAUUAGAGGUCAACUGAUUAUGAUUUUUCAACACCGAUACCGAUUAUUGGAGGACCAAAAAAAGGCGAUACAGAUUAAAAAUCGGCCGAUUCUUAUUUAUAAUAAUGACAAUAACAAUACUGAAUGAACACUUAUUUUAACAUAAUACAUAAAAAUCCAUUUAGCCUCAAAUAAAUAAUGAAACAUGUUCAAUUUGGUUUAAAUAAAUGCAAAAACAAGUGUUGGAGAAGAAAGUAAAAGUGCAAUAUGUGCCAUGUAAGAAAGCUAACGUUUAAGUUCCUUGCUCAGAACAUGAGAACAUAUGAAAGCUGGUGGUUCCUUUUAACAUGAGUCUUCAAUAUUCCCAGGUAAGAAGUUUUAGGUUGUAGUUAUUAUAGGACUCUCUCUCUAUACCAUUUGUAUUUCAUAUACCUUUGACUAUUGGAUGUUUAUAUGGAUGUUGGAUGAUAUUGGAUGGUUAUAGGCACUUUAGUAUUGUAACGGUAUAGCUUCCGUCCCCCUCCGAUUAAUCGGUUGACCUCGAUUUCAAGUUUCAUAAUCGGAAAUCGGUAUUUUUGGGCGCCGAUUUUUUUGACAUACCUUUAUUUAACUAUGCAAGUCAGUUAAGAACACAUUCUUAUUUUCAAUGACGGCCUAGGAACGGUGGGUUAACUGCCUCGUUCAGGGGCAGAACGACAUUUUCACCUUGUCAGCUCGGGGGAUUCAAUCUUGCAACCUUACAGUUAACUAGUCCAACGCAAUAACGACCUGCCGCUCUCUCGUUGCACUCCACAAGGAGACUGCAUGUUACGCGAAUGCAGUAAGCCAAGGUAAGUUGCUAGCUAGCAUUAAAC